AGAAGAAUAACAGUGUAAUUCUCCUUUGGCAGAAACAUUCUGCUUGCAUGUGCACAAUCAUCUGUUUACUGCCAAAGGAGAAUUGCCCUGCCAUUCUAAU
rfam:Cephalotus follicularis DNA, scaffold: scaffold36, isolate: St1.